AAAUCGCAUCUCCUAAUACGGGGUGUGGAGUGACGGUACCAGCAUAAGAAGCACCGGCUAACUACGUGCAGCAGCCGCGGUAAUACGUAGGGUGCGAGCGUUAAUCGGAAUUACUGGGCGUAAAGCGUGCGCAGGCGGUUUCGUAAGACAGAGGUGAAAAUCCCCCGGGGCUCAACCUGGGAACUGCCUUUGUGACUGCGAGGCUAGAGUAUGGCAGAGGGGGGUGGAAUUCCACGUGUAGCAGUGAAAUGCGUAGAGAUGUGGAGGAACACCGAUGGCGAAGGCAGCCCCCCUGGGCCAAUACUGACGCUCAUGCACGAAAGCGUGGGGAGCAAACAGGAUUAGAUACCCUGGUAGUCCACGCCCCUAAACGAUGUCAACUAGGUGUUGGGAGGGUUAAACCUUUUAGUACCGUAGCUAACGCGUGAAGUUGACCGCCUGGGGAGUACGGCCGCAAGGUUAAAACUCAAAGGAAUUGACGGU
rnacentral:rRNA from 1 species